GUGGGGAAUAUUGGGCAAUGGGCGAAAGCCUGACCCAGCGACGCCGCGUGGGCGAUGAAGGCCUUCGGGUUGUAAAGCCCUGUCAUGCGGAAAGAACGACCCUGUGACGCAUACUCACAGGGAGUGACGGUACCGCAGGAGGAAGCACCGGCUAACUCCGUGCCAGCAGCCGCGGUAAUACGGAGGGUGCAAGCGUUGUUCGGAAUUAUUGGGCGUAAAGGGCGCGUAGGCGGUAAUGCAAGUCAGAUGUGAAAUACUCCGGCUCAACUGGGGAACUGCAUCUGAAACUGCAUAACUAGAGUACAGAAGAGGGAAACGGAAUUCCCGGUGUAGAGGUGAAAUUCGUAGAUAUCGGGAGGAACACCAGUGGCGAAGGCGGUUUCCUGGUCUGAUACUGACGCUGAGGCGCGAAAGUGUGGGGAGCAAACAGGAUUAGAUACCCUGGUAGUCC
rnacentral:rRNA from 1 species